UCUUUACAAAGGAUUCAAGCCUUCUUUAUAUAGGCAAAGGCUGAGAACAAAGAAGGUCAUUAGCUAACACAUGUGUAACUCCUACAUUAAAUGACAACUCCAUAACUCCUAAAAAACAGCCCACUAUUUUGCCUUAAUAAAGGAGCACGUUUUUUUUAACCAUUAAAGCUUAUGUUUCCUUAUCCUUUAUCCUUUGUUAUGCAUACUUAAUAAGAUUAAAACCUAAUUUUAACAAAACAAAAAUAUUCUUGGCCCAUUGAACUUUUAACCUCCAAACUUAUUUCAUUGGGUUUUUAUUCAUCAACAUGGACUUUGGCUUGCUUGAAGUAUGUUGAACAGCUUUAAGUCUUCUUGCUUCCAUGAAAUUGGCUUGUUCAAGUCAUGCAUAUUUUAUUUACACCAAAUAUGAUCUAUGAAGGAGAUUAAGGCAUCUUUCAUCUUUUUAGUUCUAGCACGUGUGAUUGGACCUUCGUACAUGGUUAAUGGAUCCUCGACUUUCUGGUUCAUGUCAUCCUUGGCCAAUUGAUUAGUUUGUAGGUCCUCAUCAUUCCCCCUUUCCUCAAUAGGAUUCGCCCUCGAAUAUGCUCCUUCAUCACUUGGUAACUCCAACUUAUAUACAUUGUCAUUGAUUCUUUGAAGGAUUCGGAAAGGACCAUCCCCUCUUGGCAUUAGUUUAGACUUCCUUUGUCCUUUGAGAUAUUUCAGGGACUCAUGGUCGGUGUGGAUAAUAAAUUCCUUGUAGCAGAGGUAGUGCUGCCAUGUUUGCAAGACUCUUACCAAUGCAUAGAACUCCUUGUCAUAUGUAGGCUAGUUUAAACUUGCUCUACUCAAUUUCUCACUAAAGAAUGCAAUUGGCUUGCUUUCUUGCAUUAAAAGUCCACCGUUACUUAUGCCACUUGCAUCACACUUGAUUUUGUUGAUGGCAUGACAAUCAACGCACAUUCUUAAAGUUUCAUCCUUUUUAGGCACUAGUAAUACAGAAACAACACAUGGGAUCAUGCUUUCUCGAACACACCCUUUCUCCAUAAGCUCACUCACUUGCUUUUGGAUCUCAUUGGUUGCCUUCAGAUUGCAUCUAUAUGCAGGUCUAUUUGGAAUGCUUGCACCUGGAAUGAAGUCAAUUUGAUGUUUAAUACCUCUUAUUGGUGGCAAACCAUUAUGUACAUCUUUUGGAAAUAGAUCCUCAUUUUCCUGUAAAAGUUCAACAACAACACUAGGCAAAUUUUUGGUUACAUCGUUAGAAAUAAUCAAAAUAUCCUUGCACAAGAGUACAAGUGCUUGCUGUCUCAUUGUCAAAGCUUCCUUUACAUCACUCAUUUUUGCAUAUACACUCAUUUUCUUCACUCAAAUCUGACUUGUUUUCUCUCUCAUUGUGUUUCCCAUUGCUCUCUUUUUUUCGACUUAGCUCUCCAUUUUCUUUUCUCUCCCUUACUGGUUCCCUCCCUAAAGUUUUGCUCAAUGAAGAUGUGAACUCUUCCUAUUGCUGUUUUAUUCGCAUUUGAUCUUCAAAAAUUGUCUUUGGUAGUAAAGGUCCAAGUUGAAACUUCUGCCCAUUGAUUGUCAAAGAGUAACAGUUCUUGAAUCCAUCAUAGAUCACCUUCCUAUCGUAUUGCCAUGGUCUUCCCAACAACAUGUGACCAACAUACAUAGGUACAACAUCAUACCAUACCUCAUCCUUAUAUCUACCAAUAGAAAAAAAAACUAAUACUUGCUGAGUGACCUUCAACACCACUAUCAUUCAACCAUUGCAAUUUAUAAGGUUUUAGAUGUUUAAUAGUAGGUAAUUUCAGUUUUUCCACUAGCAAAGUACUAGCAACAUUAGUACAACUUCCACUAUCAAUAAUCAUAUUACACAACUUAUUAGCAAUUAAACAAUGAGUAUGAAACAAAUUUUUACGUUGUUCGCCAAACUCAUCAUUUACUUUGCACAACCAAAGCCUCUCCCCUAGCAUAUUCAACAUCACUAACAUCUUCUAAAGGUGGUAGUUUAUCUCCAUUUUCAUUUUCACUUUCAGACUCAACAUCCCCAUCUCUCAUUAACAUUACCCUUUUGUUAGGACAGUCACGUGCCACAUGACCAAAUCCUAGACACUUAAAGCACUUAAUUCCUCUAGUUUGAUUCUCACCUUUACCCUUGCUGCCUAUUUCAUUCUUAGACUCUUCAAAUUUAGGCUUAACAAUGGGUCUAUCAUCCUUUGUACUCCAUUUUGAAUUCCAAGAAGUAGAAGAAUUCGAAUAAGGUUUAGAAUCAUACUUACUUGUAACCGUGCGUUUGAGCUGCUUUUCAAUUUUCAUGGUUAUAUUCACCAUGUCUUCAAUCUCCACAUAGUGUUGUAAUUCUACAAGGUCAGCUAUGUUCUUAUUUAAUCCAUUUAAGAAAUGAGCCAUGGUGGCCUCACGACCCUCAUCGAUAUUAGCCCUUAUCAUAGCUAUUUCCAUCUCUUUGUGAUAUUCUUCUACGCUCAUGAAUCCUUGUGUCAAAGUCUGUAAUCGCUAGUGCAAAUCCCUAUAAUAGUGGUUAGGGACAAAUCUCUUUCUCAUUAUUCGUUUCAUCUCCAACCAUGUCUCCACGGGUCCCUUACCAUUUCGACGCCUAUCUUUACAAUUGAUCUCACCAAACAAUAGCAUAAUCACAAAAUUCAACAGUAGCAAGUUUUACCUUUUUCUCAUCAGAAUAGUUAUGGCAUUCAAAGAUCAUCUCCACCUUUCUUUCCCACUCAAAAUAUGCAUCUGGGUUGUUCUUUCCUUGAAAAGGAGGAAUUUUCAUUUUAAUGCUGCCAAUAUUUUGAUCCACAUUAUCAAAUCGCCCUCUCCUAUUUUGUCUUCUAAGAUUAGCAUCUAAACCAACAACGGUGGCUUGGUCAUUAUCUGUUUCCACUCCGCCAUCAUAAGCAUCAUGGCCAAAGGCUGGUUGUCUUUUUUUUUGUUGAGAUCCAUCUUGUAACUGGGCAAGUGUUAUAUCAUGUCUUUCUAGAUGUUCUCUAACAUCUCCCAUCAUGGUAAACAUUCGUUCAAAUUGUUGCUGCAUUGCUUUGAUGACAUGAUCAUUUGACGAAGAACUAGUUUUUUUAUCUUUGUUAGACAUUCUUUUAAUGAAAAUCUGCAAUAAAAAUGGUAAAACAGCCUCACAGACUCCCUCACGUGUUUCACUCAAUCAAUGAUUUCUCUCCACUCGUGUUUCACACUUUAAAUGGCUUUUCAUAAUACUGGUCUCACCUAACUCUCUUGUUUUGUUCUUUGGUUCUUAGAUAAACUAAGGUACUCAAACCAAACAAUUCAGAUUGUAGCAAUUCAAUGGAGUGAAAAUGGGCUGGUCUAAAAAAAUAAAAAAAAAACAGGAUAUGCUAAUUUUGUUUCUUUAUACUCUUUUUUUUGUACUUGAAACAGUGCCAAAUAUAGUGAAUGAAUGGCAAGAGUCGAAAUUGAAGGAAAAAGAAAUAUUAACUUUUUUUUUCUUCUAAAGUAAUGGAAAGAUAAAUCAACAGCAAAUUAAAGAUACGCAAACCUCAAACUUGAAGCAAGCUCUGAUACCAAAUGAUAGGAAUUCACCAAUUUAGCAACCAUACACCCCAAUAGCUAAAGAGCUAUGAUACAUAUGGAUUGCAAAUUAACACCCUCCAAUAGUUUGAAACAGCCCUACAUCUUUCAAGAUUGAAGUCAAAUUAACUAUUCCAAUCACUUUAUCAAUUGAAUGGUGAUAAAAUAGUUAGAACAACAUUUUGAUUUUCUCAACACACCACAAACAAGAAAGUUUGAUAAGUAAAGAAUGAAAAAAAUAAAGAUUUUGGAUUUUGAACGCCACAAGCAGAAUAGCUUGAUAAGUUCUAUAGUUCAUACAAGAACUAAAAAUAAAACACUCACAAGUGCUCAAAAUAAUUUUGUAUAUAUCAAUGGUGUCUUUACAAAGGAUUCAAGCCUUCUUUAUAUAGGUAAAGGCUGAGAACAAAGAAGGUCAUUAGCUAACACAUGUGUAACUCCUACAUUAAAUGACAACUCCAUAACUCCUAAAAAACAGCCCACUAUUUUGCCUUAAUAAAGGAGCACAUUUUUUUAACCAUUAAAGCUUAUGUUUCCUUAUCCUUUAUCCUUUGUUAUGCAUACUUAAUAAGAUUAAAACCUAAUUUUAACAAAACAAAAAUAUUCUUGGCC
rnacentral:lncRNA from 1 species